CAGCCCCCAAAUCCCACAGGAGACUCGAAGUAAAAUCAGGGAUUUUGUUGGAAUUCCCAGGUUUUUCCCAAGUUUGGGGAAUCCCGCUGGGAAUUUGGGUUCCGGAAGGUUCCGGCUCAGGAGAAUUCCCGCAGGAAUUGGGAGUGGAAUCGGAGCAGGAGCAGCAGAGCUCGAUCCAGAGCCGGCGGCGGCAGCAGCAGAGACAGCCUGGGAACGGCAGAGGAAUGAAAUCCCAAAAAUCCCCAAAUCCCAAAUCCCAAAAAUCCCAAAUCCUCAAAUUCCGGAGUCAGCAAAUCCCAAAAUCCCAAAAAUCCCAAAUCCCCAAAUCCCAAAUCCCCAAAUCCCGAAUCCCAAAAAUCCCAAAUCCUCAAAUCCCAAAAUCCCCAAAUCCCAAAUCCCAAAAAUCCACAAAUUCCAAAUCCCGAAAAUCCCAAAAAUCCCCAAAUCCCAAAUCCCAAAAAUCCCAAAUCCUCAAAUUCCAGAGUCACAAAAUCCCAAAAUCCCAAAAAAUCCCAAAUCCCCAAAUCCCAAAUCCCAAAAAUCCACAAAUCCUCAAAUCCAAAAUCCUGAAUCCCAAAAAUCCCAAAUCCCAAAAAUCCCAAAUCCUCAAAUUCCAGAGUCACAAAAUCCCAAAAUCCCAAAAAUCCACAAAUUCCGGAGUCACAAAAUCCCAAAAAUCCCAAAUCCCAAAACCCCAAAAAUCCACAAAUUCCAGAGUCACAAAAUCCCAAAAAUCCCCAAAUCCCAAAUCCUCAAAUUCCAGUCAGCAAAUCCCAAAAUCCCAAAAAUCCCAAAUCCCCAAAUCCCAAAUCCCAAAAAUCCACAAAUUCCAAAUUCCGAAAAUCCCAAAAAUCCCCAAAUCCCAAAAUCCCAAAAAUCCCAAAUCCUCAAAUUCCAGUCAGCAAAUCCCAAAAUCCCAAAAAAUCCCAAAUCCCCAAAUCCCAAAUCCCAAAAAUCCCCAAAUCCUCAAAUCCAAAAUCCUGAAUCCCAAAAAUCCCAAAUCCUCAAAUCCCAAAUCCCAAAAAUCCCAAAUCCUCAAAUUCCGGAGUCAGCAAAUCCCAAAAUCCCAAAAAAUCCCAAAUCCCCAAAUCCCAAAAAUCCCAAAAAUCCACAAAUUCCAAAUCCCAAAAAUCCCAAAUCCCCAGUCCCAAAAUUCCCAAAAAUCCCCAAAUCCCAAAUCCCAAAAAUCCCAAAUCCUCAAAUUCCGGAGUCAGCAAAUCCCAAAAUCCCAAAAAUCCCAAAUCCCAAAAUCCCAAAAUCCACAAAAUCCACAAAUUCCAGAGUCACAAAAUCCCAAAAAUCCCCAAAUCCCAAAUCCCCAAAAAUUCACAAAUUCCGGAGUCAGCA
rnacentral:lncRNA from 1 species